UACGAAGGGGGCUAGCGUUGCUCGGAAUCACUGGGCGUAAAGGGUGCGUAGGCGGGUCUUUAAGUCAGGGGUGAAAUCCUGGAGCUCAACUCCAGAACUGCCUUUGAUACUGAAGAUCUUGAGUUCGGGAGAGGUGAGUGGAACUGCGAGUGUAGAGGUGAAAUUCGUAGAUAUUCGCAAGAACACCAGUGGCGAAGGCGGCUCACUGGCCCGAUACUGGACGCUGAGGCACGAAAGCGUGGGGAGC
rnacentral:rRNA from 1 species